rnacentral:rRNA from 1 species
GAUGAACGCUGGCGGCGUGCCUAAUACAUGCAAGUCGAGUGAACAGACGAGGAGCUUGCUCCUCUGACGUUAGCGGCGGACGGGUGAGUAACACGUGGAUAACCUACCUAUAAGACUGGGAUAACUUCGGGAAACCGGAGCUAAUACCGGAUAAUAUAUUGAACCGCAUGGUUCAAUAGUGAAAGACGGUUUUGCUGUCACUUAUAGAUGGAUCCGCGCCGCAUUAGCUAGUUGGUAAGGUAACGGCUUACCAAGGCAACGAUGCGUAGCCGACCUGAGAGGGUGAUCGGCCACACUGGAACUGAGACACGGUCCAGACUCCUACGGGAGGCAGCAGUAGGGAAUCUUCCGCAAUGGGCGAAAGCUUGACGGAGCAACGCCGCGUGAGUGAUGAAGGUCUUCGGAUAGUAAAACUCUGUUAUUAGGGAAGAACAAAUGUGUAAGUAACUAUGCACGUCUUGACGGUACCUAAUCAGAAAGCCACGGCUAACUACGUG